rnacentral:lncRNA from 1 species
ACAAGUUAGUGUUGUCCUAUGAAACUCCUUGAGGAUAUUUAAUCAGAAGUAAUCCAGAUAACUGAUUAACAAAUAUUCAAUUUGAUGAAGUUGAAGAUUGUCUUGCUCAGCAAGGAUUUAAAAUAUCUGGAUAUUUAGGUCCUCAAGACCUUUCUUUUUGGCCACACGCUAUCUUUAAGGCCAGCAAUUUUUCUUUCUCUCCAAUUCAUUUUGAUGUUGUGAGUUUUUUGAAACACCCUUGUCCAGGGUCGAUAUAUUAUAUAACCUGUAUAACUGUGAAGUAUCCAAGUAUGUAAAUGCCGUACGACAUUGUCCACGUGUAUAACAUCGACAAAAGAAAACAUAAGGUAGGAUUAAACCAAUACUUCUUUUAAAAGAACGUUGUUUUGCCUGUCUAAGCCACCACACCAUACAGCAGUCUGACAAAUAUCUUGGUUUUGUUUUUUUUCUUGUAAAUAGUACCUAAAUAUAAUAUUACAUGGUUUUAAGAAUUUUAAUAUGUGUGUACGCUGAAAAGAAUAUUCUUAGAGGCAAACAUAAAACUUAUUUAAGCUUUUUACUUCUUUCUUUUGGGUUUUUUUUUAUAUUUUUAAUUGAGAUUAAUAUGAAUUUUAUAGUUUUGGUUAAUAAAAAUAAAUAGUUUGUGAUUCUC